UACGUAGGGUGCAAGCGUUAAUCGGAAUUACUGGGCGUAAAGCGUGCGCAGGCGGCUUUGCAAGACAGAUGUGAAAGCCCGGGGCUCACCCCCGGAAGUGCAUUGGAAACUGGCGGACUCGAGUCCCGGAGAGGAGGGUGGAAUUCCUGGUGUAGCGGUGAAAUGCGUAGAUAUCAGGAGGAACACCGGUGGCGAAGGCGGCCCUCUGGACGGUGACUGACGCUGAGACGCGAAAGCGUGGGGAGCAAACAGG
rnacentral:rRNA from 1 species